rnacentral:misc_RNA from 1 species
UCCCCCUUUUUGUCAGCAUCAAAAAGACAUGGGAGAGAGAAUUCACACACAUAAGUAAAGAUAGAGAUAUUGUUCAAGUGCAAUUGUCCAAAUAGAAAAUUGGCACACAAAGUAGUAAACUAAAAAUAGUUCAAACAGCUAAAAUUAUCGAACAUUCUAGCAAACUAAAAACUGACUAUCAGACAUUCAAAAAUAAGAAUAGUAGGAAAGGACCCAGCACACUAGUCCUAUCCCUGCAACCUAGAGCUCCUUCUGGUUGGCUUUGGUCUGUUUACAGGCAUCUUUUUUCUUUCUGGCUUGAGAGAUUUAUCACUUAAGGUUUGCAUAAUUUCAGCAGCCAUAGUAGCACCAAGGUCAAAGGGACAAGAGUGCCAGGAGCUAAUUCAGAGGCUGUUGGAGCCUCAAAAAUUGUUGUUGUCUGCUGUUUGCCAGAUUUGAUCUUUUUGCCAGAUGCUUUGCCAGUAUCAGCUUGCAGUUUGCUUCUUUGCUCCUUUUUAGCAGACUUUUGUUUUCCUUUAGCAGGUGCAGUAGGAGCAGGAGUGUGUGCUUCAUUCUCAGCAUCAGAACCACACUCUCUAUUUUCAUCUCCACUAACUUCUUGGCUGCCACCUUUAGAACCAUCAUCAUCACCAUUAGUAUUGGUCUUGUCCUCAUCAGAUUCUCCUUCCUCAUUUUUUGUUUCAGCUUCUUCCUCUUUUUCUUCUUCUCAUUCCUCUUUCUCUUCCUAUUCUUACUUUUUUUCACUUCCAACUUCCUUUUCAGAACCUGUAGCACCUACUUUACUGGUUUUCCUAGCAUCCUUACUAGUAAUACCUAGAUGAACCUUGAUUUUGGUUAAGUCAUCCAUAAUGUUAUACAUCAAUAAUAGAAAACCAUCAACUUUAGAGUCGAGCAUCUACGAGAACACGCUGAUAUAAGCGAAAUUGCUUUUGCUCUUCAAAUUCAAGUUCAGUAAAUUGCCUCGUAUUGUUGACCUCUUCCAUAAUCCCUUCAACAUCAUAGGUAUCACUUCUACUACCUUUUCAACUGGCCCCUUUCUCAAAUCUCAUUUUCCUUCCAUCAUCAUCUUUUUGCAAACUUGUAAUUGGGAUCAUAUUGGUUCUAAGUUUUUCAUUUUCUAGAGAAAUGCCAAAAUCCCUAAACAAUCCAUUUAAGAGAUGUGCAUAUGAAAGUUUGUAUGGAGGUUUCCACUUCAUGAUUUGCUUCAACAUGAAAUAGACAAGAUUGAAUUUUAUUUCAUUCACAAUGUGCCAAAUGAUGCAUAGGUCAAGGGUGCUCAGGUAAUUAGGGCUGUCAGUUAUGGGAUUUAGAACGUAGAUGACAAAACUAUAUAGGAUUUUGAUAUGUUGAUGAGCAUGGGUGAUAAUAGUUGUCUUUAACCUCUCCCUUAAACACCUCAUGUUCAAAGUCUCUUUUAUUAAAUCCUCCUACUUGAAAUACUUCUUUUUGGGAACAGACUCAGUUGUCACUAUUUGGAACUUCAUAAACCUUCCCUUUUAACUUUAGAGAAAUCAUCAUCUUCAACAUCUCCAAUUCUUAAGUUUCUAAAAAAACUCUGGACCGAGUCCACAUAAAUUCCUUCAGAACUAGAACACAGCUUAUCCCAUUUUUGAUAUUGAAACAGAGACUCUAAAGGAAUUGAAACCUCACUAAAAGCAGGCCAAUGAAUGUACCUUGGUUCAUGAAAAGCCCAUUCCAUAAGAACAACAAGGGCUUUGGAGACUUUCCCUUUUUUAGUACUCUUUUCUUUGACAGGUUCACUAGCCCUCUUCUUUGAUUGAGAUUUACCUUCUCCAAUGACCAGAGGUUUCUCUUUCUGUGCUGGAGGAGGAGAUGGAGGAACACUGUCACUAUUAGAUUCUGAAGAUGAAGUAUACUAAGUAACCUUUCCUUUUCUCUUUAACUGAGCCAUGAUCAAAUUAGGAGCUUUUGGGCAACAGGGAAGAGCACUACUAGGGUUUGAAAAGAAAACAACACGCGAUAUAAACACCCAACAGAGGCGGGAAUAAAAUUUAUAUAUAUAAUACAAGUGAGAAUCACAUACCCAUUGAAAAUCACAAAUACAACAUGUAUUGUUCCAAAUUUUCAAAUGAACAAGGAAGACAAUCAAUGGACAAUCUAGGUUUUCGAAAAACAGCAACAGUAAAUUUUGAAAUAUCGACAUACAGUGCAGGUUAUUGUCAUGAGAAGGAUUAAAAUAAAGAAACCCAUCAACCAUUGAUUAAAAGAAAUCGAAAAUAUAGCAUGUCAAUUAAAAAAAAAAAAUCUAAGAAU